UACAGGGGAUGCAAGCGUUAUCCGGAAUGAUUGGGCGUAAAGCGUCUGUAGGUGGCUUUUUAAGUCCGCCGUCAAAUCCCAGGGCUCAACUCUGGACAGGCGGUGGAAACUACCAAGCUGGAGUACGGUAGGGGCAGAGGGAAUUUCCGGUGGAGCGGUGAAAUGCGCAGAUAUCAGGAGGAACACCGAUGGCGAAGGCAGGUCUCUGGGCAUUAACUGACGCUGAGGAGCGAAAGCAUGGGGAGCGAACAGG
rnacentral:rRNA from 1 species